rnacentral:siRNA from 1 species
GUCCAAGACGAUAUGAUGAU